UACGUAGGGAGCAAGCGUUGUUCGGAUUUACUGGGCGUAAAGGGCGUGUAGGCGGUCUGUUAAGUCUGGCGUGAAAGCUCUCGGCUAAACCGGGAGAGGUCGUUGGAUACUGGCAGACUAGAGGACGGUAGAGGCGUGUGGAAUUCCGGGUGUAGUGGUGAAAUGCGUAGAGAUCCGGAGGAACACCAGUGGCGAAGGCGACACGCUGGGCCGUACCUGACGCUAAAGCGCGACAGCAUGGGGAGCAAACGGG
rnacentral:rRNA from 1 species